rnacentral:tRNA from 14 species
GCCUCCAUAGCUCAGCGGAUCAGAGCACUCGUCUUCGGAACGAGGGGUCGGGGGUUCGAAUCCCUCUGGGGGCGCCA